AUGUGGGGUGUGUGUUUAUGACAGGCAACAGAUGUGGGGUGUGUGUUUAGGACAGGCAACAGAUGUGGGGUGUGUGUUUGGGACAGGCAACAGGUGUGUGGUGUGUGUUUAGGACAGGCAACAGAUGUGGGGUGUGUGUUUGGGACAGGCAACAGGUGUGUGGUGUGUGUUUAGGACAGGCAACAGAUGUGGGGUGUGUGUUUAGGACAGGCAACAGAUGUGGGGUGUGUGUUUAUGACAGGCAACAGAU